UACGUAGGCAGCGAGCGUUGUUCGGAAUUACUGGGCGUAAAGAGUGUGUAGGCGGUGUUCCAAGUCUGGUGUGAAAUCUCCCGGCUUAACUGGGAGGGUGCGCCGGAAGCUGGAAUGCUCGAGGGUGGGAGAGGUAAGCGGAAUUCCUGGUGUAGCGGUGAAAUGCGUAGAUAUCAGGAGGAACACCUGUGGUGUAGACGGCUCUCUGGACCGUAACUGACGCUGAGACACGAAAGCGUGGGUAGCAAACAGG
rnacentral:rRNA from 1 species